rnacentral:ncRNA from 1 species
UAGUUCCUUCAGGGUGAGGUGAGACAGCAUCAAGCUGUCAAUUCCUAAUCGGCGGUGAUGAUCUUUUUCGAAAGAGCUAAGUCCGCGAGCCUUCACAGGCAGGAACUGGUGCGAAUCCAGUACCGACGGUAUAGUCCGGAUGGGAGAAGGAAUGA